rnacentral:rRNA from 1 species
UACCAGCUCUCCGAGUGGUAGGGAUGAUUAUUGGGCUUAAAGCGUUCGUAGCCGGYCUGGCAAGUCUYUCGUYAAAUCCAGCGACUCAAUCGUUGGGCCGCGGGGGAUACUACUAGGCUUGGAAGCGGGAGAGGUMAACGGUAUUCCCKGGGUAGGAGUGAAAUCCUGURAUCCCGGGAGGACCACCAGUGGCGAAGGCUGUUGACUAGAACGCGUCCGACGGUGAGGGAYGAAAGCUGGGGGAGCGAACCGGAUUAGAUACCCGGGUAGUCCCAGCUGUAAACGAUGYRGGSUAGGUGUSGGUGUGGCUWCGAGCCACUCCGGUGCCGCAGGGAAGCUCUUAAGUCUGCCGCCUGGGGAAGUACGGUCGCAAGRCUGAAACUUAA